rnacentral:rRNA from 1 species
UUGGCUCAGGAUGAACGCUGGCGGCGCACAUAAGACAUGCAAGUCGAACGAGCUUAAUCGAAAGUUUACUUUUGAAGCGGUUAGUGGCGGACUGGUGAGUAACGCGUAAGCAAUCUGCCUGGAAGAGAGGAAUAACAGUGAGAAACCAUUGCUAAUACCACAUAAGCUGUGAAUAGCACAUGCUAUAAACAGAAAAGGAGCAAUCCGCUUUCAGAUGAGCUUGCGUCUGAUUAGCUAGUUGGUAAGGUAACGGCUUACCAAGGCGAUGAUCAGUAGCCGGACUGAGAGGUUAAACGGCCACAUUGGGACUGAGAUACGGCCCAGACUCCUACGGGAGGCAGCAGUGGGGAAUA